rnacentral:rRNA from 1 species
AGACGUCUACAUUAGACUACCCCUGUAGUCCCAGCCCUAAACGAUGCGCGUUAGGUGUAUCGGUGACCACGAGUCACCGAGGUGCCGAAGGGAAACCGUGAAACGUGCCGCCUGGGAAGUACGGUCGCAAGGCUGAAACUUAAAGGAAUUGGCGGGGAGCACCACAACGGGUGGAGCCUGCGGUUUAAUUGGACUCAACGCCGGGAAGCUCACCGGAUAAGACAGCGGAAUGAUUGCCGGGCUGAAGACCCUGCAUGACCAGCUG